rnacentral:rRNA from 1 species
AAGUAAAAGUCGUAACAAGGUCUCCGUAGGUGAACCUGCGGAGGGAUCAUUACCAAGUACAACCCGUCUCCGGACGGGCUGCUACCAACCCUUUGUUGUCCGACCGCGUUGCCUCCGGGGCGACCCUGACCUUCGGGUUUUGGGGGACCCCGGGUGGACACCUAAACUCUGCGUAACUUUGUAGUCUGAGUAAUAGAUUAAAUCAAUCAAAACUUUCAACAACGGAUCUCUUGGUUCUGGCAUCGAUGAAGAACGCAGCGAAAUGCGAUAAGUAAUGUGAAUUGCAGAAUUCAGUGAAUCAUCGAAUCUUUGAACGCACAUUGCGCCCCGUGGUAUUCCGCGGGGCAUGCCUGUUCGAGCGUCAUUUCACCACUCAAGCCUCGCUUGGUAUUGGGCGACGCGGUCCGCCGCGCGCCUCAAAUCGACCGGCUGGGUCGAUCGCACCCUCAGCGUUGUGGAAACUAUUCGCUAAAGGAGUUGUGGUCGGUCACGCCGUGAAACAAACCAAUCUUUCAAUGGUUGACCUCGGAUCAGGUAGGGAUACCCGCUGAACUUAAGC